rnacentral:hammerhead_ribozyme from 1 species
GUACUGCUGAAGAGUCCCACGAUAGGACGAAACGGCCGUCCAGUUC